CUCUCUCCCUGUUAUUAUAAGGUGUGUUAAGUUGUACUAUUCUUAUCAGUUUAAUUCCUGUUACGUCCCCUAUCAGGGGACAUGUAUAUGGCAUCGAUUUUAGGAACCGGGAGAUGGAAAAAGAUGCUUGGUUGGUCCUCCUUCUUCAAAUUUGGGGCACUGUGCGUGCAAUCUAAUGUGCCACCAGAUAGGAGUG
rnacentral:snRNA from 1 species